GUUCGCAGCAAACAAUUGAUUCUAGUUAGAACUAGUUUCGCGAAGAUUUGGGUUCGUUCUUCGUAGACUUCAACGUGGUUAAGGAGCUUAACUAACUUGAAAGUAAAGGUAAUAAAGGUGGCAAACCGGCAAG